ensembl:lncRNA
AUUCAUCUUUUGUCCUGAUUUAUUUCUUUUAAAAUUAUUUUUCUAAUUAUGCUAUAAAUUUGCUGUGAUGCAAAACAAUGGAUCUAAUAUUCCACCAUCAAUCUGGAUUCUGUUAGCACACAGGAAUUUAAUGUUCUGACUGUAGUCAAUGAAGCACAACAAAAGAAAUUCAAGAAACUGUAAUUAAAAAGUAAUAAAGUGAAGGACAGACUCACUCCGAAUGUUAAAUGUAUUUUAUUUUCAACUCCUCUGGAUUCAUGUGGGAAGCAAAUGGAAUUCAUUUCACAUGUAAACAUGUCGUUUAAGGUCACUUGGAUGUUGGACUGUUGGCAGGAAACACACUGUAGCAACAAGAGAUGUCACCCCACUGAAAUUCUUCAAUAGUAUGUCAGCACGAUCGUAUCAGUAGAUUUCUUAUGUAAAGCUCAGCAUGCACAAGAACUUUCCCAGCAGCCUUUAUUUCACUGGAUGAAAUGAAAAGGAAAAAAAGUAGGUCGGGAGGAAAUAUGGAUGGCUGAACCUUUACUAAAGAACAUUUGGCUAUUUAAUUAUGUUUAAAACAACAGAAGCCUCAUAAUUAAACUGUUUAAGUCAAGAUAAUCCGCAUUUGGACAGUCACGAUACUGAUUUGAUAAAAAGGCUCAGCAUUCAUGUUAAACUCAGAAAUCUGAUUUCCAACCAUGUUUGGAAGCUUUUUAAAAAAAAUAAUUAAUGAAUACGUUGACUUGUGUAUUAAUUUCUGUUGUACACAUAGAUGUAUUUCCACUGAUUGAGAGACUCUCAUAUGGUCAGUAAAUGCAGCCCAUAAACAGUAAAGAGACUAGGAAGUCCCAUCAUCUGAUGCUUUUGGACUGUGGGAGGAAACAGAAUGAGCAACUUGCACUCAGACUCCUUAGUCAGCCUACUCGCUAUGUGAUCAGUGCCAACCACUGAGUAAGUGUGCUUCCUUUUAAUUAACUAUUUAAGAACUAAUUAAUUAGUGAAGCUGAUGGAGCUGCCUUUCAUUUAGGACCUAUUUCUGCGCUUUAAUUACAGCUGUGAUUUAAUUUCGCCACCUUCAGUUUCCAACAAAACUGAGAGCAGAGCUGCAUGUUCAUAAUUUGAAACUAUCUGUUGGCUCUCCUGAAAAACAUUGUCAGUGAAGUUUUCAUUUCAUCACCUAUUACUAUAGUGGGCCAGAAGAGUCACACCUCAUCCUCCAUACAGGACCUUUUGUUUGUAAAAUAUAAAAGAAUGCACUAUGAAAUUAAUCAGUUUCGUGGGAAGCUGUAUCUUUGAAAAAUUACUAUACAAUACAUUUGGAUUGGUACUGAAAUAUGCCACACAGACGGACAAAUUGGACAUCCUUGUGGCAUCUGGAUUAUUGGCAUUGCCAGCAUGGCUUACAGCACCUUUAAUCCAUUUAAACUCAUACUGUAUUUAAAACAAACCAAACAGCUGCAAAAGGGGAACCCCCACAGCUUUAGUAACACAUUGCACACAGUCUUUACCUACUCAACCUGUUAUCUAAACCCCACAUCAGGUUUUUCCAUGAUCUUGACACCCAAAGGCAGUGGCAUUUCAUCAGGGCAAGCAAAACGGGCCCUGCUUGCCCUUCCAUAAAGCUGCUAUUUGCAUCCUCGUUUGUAUUACUGUCAUCUUGUAGCUAUUGUCCCUGGAAGCCCACACAGUGGGGAUGGAGUGUUUGUGUUUUGUGUGCAUAUAGACCAAAACCUUUUAUUCUGCAAGUUCUUUUUUUGGACGCAACCCCAAGUGGCCAUAAAAGGAACUGCAGCGUUUAAUACUUUGCGGUGGAUUCAUUUUUCAGCCCAUGGUUGGCACACUGCUGGAAUGAAUGGCAGUGUAGGUUAUCUACAUUUAUCAAUUAGUUGUUCAUAGUAACACUGCUAAAAGGCAGAAACUUUCCAAGGUAACCAUGGUUACCCAUGCUCACCAUGUUAGUCCACUGUUUCAGUAUGCAAACACAAAGCUAAAGCCAUGGGAAACAUCCACUUUUUUGUCUGCAUUUAAACUUGAUGGUGGUGCUAGAUGAAAGUUAGGAGAUCAAAAGGGGAAUUGAAUCUCUAAACCAGGAGAAAACUUCAUAGUGAACCUUGUGAAGCAGUCAGGGACCACUAAAAUUCAGGAUUUCACUUCAGGGGACUUGAAUUUAUGUAUAACUAUUAGCCCCCCCUGCAAGUCAUCAACCUAAUUAUUUCAGUCUGGACCAAAAAUGGUGGAUCAGCCAGCAAACAUACCGAUCCCCAGAGUUAGGGUGGCUAAUGUGCUAAAAAUACUGAUUAAACAAAGUUUAAAUAUGACCUAAGUGACACACUCGCCAAAAAAAGAUGCAGGAGUCAUGAGUGGAGCAGCUGCUUCUGCUUUAGAAGCUGUCCUCGAGGGCUGGUGUGCUAAAUCCAGAUGUGACAACUGCAGUGUAGAGAUUGUGAUAUCUCAGUGUCAGGGGGAGGAAAAUGAUGCACAGAGCUUUUAUGCUAUCAUUCCUAAAAUUAUGCCUUCACCAAACAAAUUCAACAGGGAUGUUGCUCACUGUGUUUCAGCAAAUCAGAUGUUCAGACAGCCUCUCUCAGUCGACCAGCUGUGCUGCCAGCAAAAAUAUUCAUCACAUACAUGUUUCAGCAGCUCCUCAACCGCACAGAGAGGCUGUGUAUGGCCUAAUGUAUUUGAUAUAAAUAAUUUAUGAUGACUUUCCUCAGCUUUGCCCUAAAGAAUGAUUUAAAAGAGAACAAUAAUGCAUCAUUGUUCAGUUUGAGGCAUUAGUUUAUUAGUUUUUUUGCCCGGCAGUUAACAGAAAGAUUUAUGAAUGCCCGUAUUUCCUCUCCCAGGUGGACCAGUGAUAUAAACCAGUGACCUUUCAGUCACACACCUGCUGGCACUAAGAUAGGUGCCUUUAUUCUUUUGAACUAAUGGGGAGCAGAGUCUCUCAUUUUAUAGACUGCCUUCACUACAAAGGAAUUACGCUUAGAUCUUCGUGGUCAUCAGGGCAAGACCGAAACUGCUCAGUGAGGUUAAUUUAGACAGUUUUAAAACAAAACUUAAAAAUUUAGUAGCUGUUUGAUUUGAAGACACUUAACAACACCUGCAAAUGCAGACGGUUAAAGCUUUUCUGAGUCAAUUAUCCAGGUCCUACUCCAGCAUUCAUGUGCUCCCUCUGGAGGACUUCACCCAGGAAUACAAUGGGUUCAUAUGUGGUUUUGGCUUAUCACACUGGAACAGUUUCAAAAGCAGAAUGUUUAGUCUAACAGGACCCUGUAUGUUGUUCUUGCAUCCAGCUUCCUUCCCGCCUCAGCUGCUCCGCUCAGUAUGACGUGAUUUCCGUAAAAAAAUAACAGACUGAGUCACUAAAACGAGGGCUGAGGGUAAAGCUGCUUCUGAAACAUGGUGUGGUGCAUUUGGUGGAACUGUAAACUUUACGGGCAGUUUAAAUGUUUUUGCAGACCUUGCAAAUUUUCGUAACCUGGUGUCGAAAAAGCACCGAGUGGGAGGUCGUUGCAACUGAUGGAAAGAUCAGAUGCUCUACAGAAAACUUUAAAAAGUUUUCUGGGUUAUGAAACCUGUUGUUUAGAAAAAGAUUUUAAUGAGUCGUACAGGUAUUAAUAGUUAUUCUGCUGUGAGACCAACACACCGCAGCUUGGGUGAGAGAAUCAGCUCUGAGCCUAGUUUAAUCCCGGGAUACAAGCAUUUCUUCUGAGACCAUCCUCCUCCAUUGUACUUCAAGUUCAGGUGUAGAUGUAUUAUCAUCAACCAAAGUGGGUGCCUUAAACCUGCCUUCUUUUUAAUGGUCACUAAGGGGCGACUCCUCUGGUUGCACAAAGACUGGCCUCUACAUAUCUAUUGGGAAAACAGGCCUCAGCUCUGAACUCUAUAAACAUAGAGUUGGGUCGCUCAUUUUAGGUCAAAAUAAUUAAAACAUUAAGCACAUUUUACAAAAUUUCAGACAUUCUAAUGGGCAUGCUCUUUGGCUAAUGCCUUGGUUUGAAAACUCCAAUAAGGCGACAGCAAAAUUCCUCAUCGGAUGGCUAAAAACUCGAAUCAACUGAUGGGUAAUACCACCGUAGCUAUGUUCAUUUUUUAUACUGUCCAUUAUGGAGAUGUUAAGUGGCUAUGUCAAUAAAUACAUCUAAGAUGAACACGUGUGAAACCCACUAUCCUGGUAUCUUACAAACCAGGUGCUUUUUAACCUGAACUGUUACCUUGUACUAUUCUAAAACAGGAUGUUUUGGUAUCAAACCCUUAAGAGAGAGACGGUGAAACCUGAUGUUUAUAUGGCAUUUCAAACUAAUUGUUUAGUGGGAGAAUUGUUCCUUUCACUUACAGUUUGGCUUUUAUUACCUCAGGACCCCUCAACUGUAGCCACGUGUGGGGUUCUGACCUACAUGUUGGGAACCACUGUCGCUCUACUACUUCCCAGUUGGGUUUUUUUGGUUUUGUUUAUUUUUAGUCAUUUUUUGAAUGUUUUUCCCGUUUCCUCUGUGCAGCUCUGAGGUAUACUUGACUUCUCCUGUGUGCUUGUAACCUACUUAACUUUCUGUGAACAACUCAAAGUAAGGACUCACUUCCAACUGUAAGAAACAGUCUGGAUUUCAAGUUUCCGCAUCCAUGCAAGAAACUUCUGUUUAACAUAACGUUGAAACGUCACAGCUCCAUCCAUCACGCCGGGGACUGAAACGUUUCCAUCUUUGACAAGCUGCUGCGACUUGAAAGCUUCCAGAGAGGCUGGAAAAUAUCAAAUUGUGUCUUUAGAUCGUUCAGCUCAAUUAUUUUGGGUUGGAAAGUAGCCGUCACAGCACAUUAAAGCCAUGUGGUGUGCAGCACAAAACCUGCUCUGGAGAUUUUACGAAGCAAGCUUGGACUCAAAUGACAAAACGUAUUUACAGAAAUGGCACAGCUUUUCUCCCAGACUCGGGACUUUUAAUGGCAUGUUGCCCUUUAACAUGAAUGUAAUGAUUCAGUAUCUGAAUCAUCAUCCGUUCCCCUGCUGUGGGAGUUGACAUGCUUUGUUGUGUAUUCCCACAGUUUAAAUAUGAGGCUUCUGCUGUCAUUUUAUUUUGAAAAGUAAAAGACCCUCAGAAAUCACUCAAAGGAAGAAGUUUUUUAAAGCACACUAAUUUUUUCCCCUCAGUAAGGUGCAUUUACAGCUUUCAGCUCUUUGAGUGCUUCUGACAGCCACAUGAAUCCAGUCAAACACACUGUACUGUACCAUAAGCUGAUGCAGGCAUGUAAAUGACUCAACUUGGAUAUUAUUAGCUCAUCUUCACUCACUGUGGCGCUGAUCAGCUUUGACGUCACUCAUAAUCAUCUGGUGCGGGCGCCUGCAGCCACGGCUCCUCCAUCGCGGAUGCUGCGAUGCAAAUCAUCUGAAAUGUUUUGAGGCCGUUUGGCUCAUAAUUUAAAUUAUAAAGAGACAUUCAUUUAUCUGUUUUAUUACUCCUCUUUUUUUGUUUUUUUUUUGUUUUUGGGAAAGGCUGCUGGGAUGAGUCCGAGUUAGAAAAGAGACACACAAUAAAAACAGACCAAACAAACAAAAGCACGGGCUCAGAAACAAGCACUUUACAUCGUUUUUGAGGAUUCUCCAAACACAUUAAGCAGCCAGUCUUACACAAAUCAUCAGCAUGAAUAAAAUCCCAGUGAAUUUGGAGGGUUGAGGGGAUUCAGACAGACAGGGGGGAAAGCCCCAGAAUCUUACUGCAACUAUGGGAUGUGCUUGGAGGUGAUUUGGUAUCGUUGCUCUGGUUAUGGACGGGGGAUCUGGUAAAGCAGUGGUUCUCAAACCUUUUAUGGCAUGCCCAUCUUCAAAAUGCCCACGCCCCCAUGUCACAAGCUACAGCGGACAACUUCAAAUGUUGAGUUUUUCACCCUUUAAGAGUGAAAAAUAUUAAUUGUUGGUGUUUUGUAUUAUGUAAUUUGUCGGUAGAAUUACAUUGGGAAAAAAAAAAUUAAAGGUGAAAACCUACAGAAAUGUUAAAAAAAACCAAACAGAUACAAUAUUUAAAAAUUAUGUGUGUCCAGAAACUCAAGUAGAAAUCUGAACAUCAGAACAAACUAUACACUACUAUGCUUCCAUUUUCUCUACAAAAAUCAUCCUGAUUUAGUUUCACUCCAUACGUUCCCUCUGGACAUCCACGCCCCACAGUUUGAGAACCACUGCCAUAAAAAGGGGCAACAUGAGGUCCAUGGCUUCAAGUUCGGGAUCACCAUGGGUCCAUCUGUGCUACAGCUCAACAAGCAGCACCACUUUGCCCCGCCCCCAAAAAAAGACCCUGAGUGGACACACAACUGCAUGUUUGUUGGAGCCAGCGCCCAGUUACAUCAGCAGGUUAUGCUCGGAUGUUUUUCAGAUGUUAAUUUUCUGUAAAUGGUGCAGCUAAAGGAAGAUUUCAACUGUUCAGGCUUUUCCAUAUUCUUAGUUGUGGAGGAAAAACAGCAGAGAGGGAUUAAACCAUCUCCUUUAUAUUGAUCAUAGAGACAUUUGAUUAAUAUCUCAACUCGAAACAAAAGCAUAGAAACUUUUUUUAAAAAUGCUGAUAAUUAUUAAGGAAUUUGUGAUUUAUUAGUUUUAUUUUUGCACAUUAACAAGAUACUUUAUCAUUUAAGUUAGUGUGGCCCAAGGCAUGAAAUCACAUGUGGGAAAAAAAUAAGAGUAAUGGAAAGACGAGGUGAGUUUCAUCCAGUCAAAAAUCAAAACAGAAUCCUGGUUUUAGGUGGGUCCAUCUUUUAAAUAUUUUAAAUGAAAUUAAAAAAGCAUUUAUUUUUUUUCUGUUUUCAGAUCGUUCUGGAUGUUUGAACACCUGAACACAGACUUUAAAAUAAAAUCUGAGUUAUUCCCACGAUUUUUAUCGAUCAACAACAACAAAAUAAGACCCGUGAACGCGCGAGGUUAAAACAGAGUAACUGCUCGUGUUUUUCUCCGACUUCUCGUCUGUUGUAUUUACUUUAUUGUUUUCCCAACAAUAAAUAAAAACAAACAGCAUUAAAAAACAAACAGAAACACAGACACGUGGAAAACAACAAAUAGACACACAUUAGUUCAUAAAAGUCAAACAUUAAAAUGAAAAGGCCGAGAAAAGGCGGGUUCAUUUAGAUCAGAGGUAACACGCCAUCUGCAAGUUUUAAUAGCAGGAAUACAAAAGCAAACCUUUUAAACCAUUAAAAAAAAAAAAACCCACUAAGAUCUCAGGAUACAAAAGGUGUCUGCACUCUUAAAGCAAUGACAGGUAUUUUUUACCCAGACAUUUUGAGUCUAAUGGUGUGUUCAGAGUAAGUGCAAAGCGAGGUUUUGCCUCAUGAAUGAAGUCUCUUUAGCACUUUUUUUUUUUUUUUUUUUUUUUAAAUGUUGAUAACUACUUUUAUCCAGACUGCAGCAGAUACAGAUCCCUCCCUUUUUUCUGUCUUUAUAUAAAAGAGAAUCUUCAGCUGCUCACAAACGAUAAGCUUUUCCUCCUUUUCUGAUCACUUGUGGCAUCAGGAGAACACAUGGGAGGGGUCGAACGAAUAGGGUUAAAAUUUGCUUUAAUGGACAGCGUUUAGGAUUUACGGUCCUCAUCUUUGCUGCGUUAAAGUACCGCAGAACUGACGCUGGCUCACUUGAUUACACUUUCGCCAUCAUAAAGAUCUGCGAAGUCUUAAUGGGCCUUCAAACAGGAAGGGCUGGUUGCAAGGGGGCGGUCCAGUACCACCUCUUCAUGUUAACCAACAGUGUCCUUUACUCUUAUUGGUACUUGCUUCAAUUUGCCUUAACUGCAAAGCCUAGAAAAGUUUUAAUCUGGUAUCUCUAAGUGUGAGUGGCUUUCUAUGGUUUCUGGUUGCAGUGAUGUUGCUGCUAGUCGCUUCUUGGGUGGACGCCCCUUGAAAACCAGCAGGCAAAUCCUGUUGUACAGCGAUCUAGUUGAUUAAUCACCCACAUGCCCGUUACAAACAUACAAGAACGUAUUUUCGACUCUCUGAGCACUACAGGGUAUAAAUGUGCGACAAUCGGUCCCGCCGUGCAAACUUUGCUUUGCGUUUACCCCAAACACACCACAACAUUCCUGCUUCUCUGUAGUGAGAUAAAACUGUUUUCAGAUCUCAGGAGUCGACUUCUUUUGAACUGAAUGCUAGCAGACAGAAAUGAUGUGCAAAAACACAAAAAAUUAUGUAAAAGAUGUAAAAAAACAAAAACAAAAAACCCAGAAAAAACAAAAACAGAACACACAACCUUUAACCCUCAAGCAACCAAGCUCUUAACUACAUGGGAACACAUUUUGUAUGGCUCUGUCCAAGUUUGUGGGGUUUCCUUGACCUGUGAUGAAAUUUUCUAAUAAUUAAUAAUAAUUAUGGUUUUAAAUCACUUUUAUCCACUUAAAAAAAUGCAAGUUACUAGUAGUAGCUAUGGGUUGCUGCAACAAGAAAAAAAAAAAAAAAAAAAAAAAAAAAAAAUGUGGAGAUUAAAAGUGAAAAAUUCUAACAAAAAACGUUAAAAAACAGAACUCUACAUCAUCUUUGCAGCACCAGCUCCCAUAAAGAACAAUGAAAAGUUGCAGAAGUAGAUGGAUAAACACGUUUUCCCACACAUGUAUAAAUACACAGCACUCGGUCACUUGAAGGUUAAAGAACUCAGAGCCUUGGAAUCCAUUCACACUUCUCUCGCAUCUAACAGUGUUUCCUCCAAUACACCACUUAAGUUAUAACAACUCUUCCCAUACCGUGACACGUUUCAUGUAACUGGGCGCUGGGCUGUAAAAAGGCAUUUUCAUGUACUUCGUCAGGCUUUAGUAAGCACGUACUUAUGAGUAAUUCAUGAGCGAAAUGCAUGUUGAAGAGCAGAGUCAUUACAACUACAAUGCAAAGCUUUUCCCCUCCUUUAAAUGAUGCAAAAUGGCGUGAUGAGAAAAUGAAGAAGGAAACCUCCCAAACCUCCUCUCAUUUUACUGAGGGCUCGCAUUCUCAUAGAGAUCAAGUCUGCCUCACUCUGCAGCUCAGCUUGAGGGAGAGAGGAAAAAACAACAACAACAACAACAACAAAAAAGAAAACAGCGGGCUGCUUUGAAAAGGAGAAGCAGCUCCUCAUUUAGCACGGUAAACAAGAAGCUUUGAAGUCAGCCAUUUAAAAUAGGAUUUACAUGAAUAAAUAAAUCGCUCACUGAUGUGAGGCAGAAGGCUUUGGGUAAUCGUCUGUGAUUCUAACACACAUGACACUGCAAAUAACACUGCGAGGUUCAAGUCUGGGAAUUAUUAAUAAAUACCACCUGCUCCGGUCUGCGCUGCGCCUUUGUUCAAACUUUGCUCGGCGGCGAGCUCCUGACGGAGGUCGCGAAGAAUGAAAAUCGCUUUAUUUGACGAGGCGACGGAUGACGAAGUUCAUAUUAAACGCCACUUUACUGAUGUCAUCGUUCACGUCGGUGACAGAGCGUCUCCGUCCAUCCUCGGCUGUACAAAUUAACGACGACAUCCUCGUCCGCCUCGCCCGGCUUGUAGAUGUGCUUCGCAACUCUGUGCUUCACCUCCAUCUCUUUGAAAUAUAUUAAAAUAAUAAUAAGAAACUCUCACUAGGGAUGGGGUUCGAUAGCGUUUCAAGUGUCAAAUCUCCAGUAACGAAAAGCUGCUGUUUUUAGUGGCAGCUUGAUUAAAUAAACAUGAGCCGAGCAGCAUAAAGUAUGAAAUAUUAAUUAAAUGUAUGUGACACAUUUAAUUAAAAGCUGCAGGCUACUGUACUUCACCAGCUAUUCUAAAACGCUCGGGGUGAUUUAACGAGGCAAAAAACAGCACCGACUCCAUGCUGGCGUGUUGCAGAGGUGAGAGAACGGCCUCUCGUAUAAAUGUUUGUUUAUAAGCGAAAUUCACGAGUGGCCCGGAUCACUGGGGAUAAAAACACCCAUCUGAGCUGAACUUGAACAAGUCUGGCAGGUAAAUACGAGAAUAUAACUACACUGUAAAAACGAUAACUAGUAAUUGUUGAUUUGAGUAAAGUUUUCAAAUUAAACUGACUUAGAAAUAAAACUUUCCAUUUACAACCUAAAAUAGCUUGUCUGCCCAACAAAUUUCUUCCAUUGUUGUCCUAACUAAGAUUUUCUAGCGAGCAUAACAAAGAUUAUCAACUUUUGAGUAGAUUUUU